GAUGAACGCUAGCGGCAGGCCUAAUACAUGCAAGUCGAACGGUGUCUUCGGACAUAGUGGCGCACGGGUGCGUAACACGUAUGCAACCUACCUUACAUUGGGGGAUAGCCUUUCGAAAGGGAGAUUAAUACCGCAUAAGACAGUAGCUGGGCAUCCAGCAGCUGUUAAAGAUUUAUCGAUGUAAGCUGGGCAUGCGUCCAAUUAGCUAGUUGGUGAGGUAACGGCUCACCAAGGCAAUGAUUGGUAGGGGAACUGAGAGGUCAAUCCCCCCCACUGGCACUGAGAUACGGGCCAGACUCCUACGGGAGGCAGCAGUAGGGAAUAUUGGGCAAUGGACGCAAGUCUGACCCAGCCAUGCCGCGGGCAGGAUGAAGGCGUUAUGCGUUGUAAACUGCUUUUAUACAGGAAGAAACGACUCUUGCGAGAGGCAUUGACGGUACUGUAUGAAUAAGCACCGGCUAACUCCGUGCCAGCAGCCGCGGUAACAC
rnacentral:rRNA from 1 species